rnacentral:miRNA from 1 species
AACCCCAUCGACUGGAAGGAAUUCCUUCCGGUCAAUGAGGUGUAACAGCCUGAUUGACCAGAAGGAAUCCCUUCCGGUUGAUGAGGCA